CCUACGGGAGGCAGCAGUGGGGGAUAUUGCACAAUGGGGGAAACCCUGAUGCAGCGACGCCGCGUGUGGGAAGACGGUCCUCUGGAUUGUAAACCACUGUCCCCAGGGACGAAGAUGACGGUACCUGGGGAGGAAGCUCCGGCUAACUACGUGCCAGCAGCCGCGGUAAUACGUAGGGAGCGAGCGUUGUCCGGAAUUACUGGGUGAAAAGGGAGCGUAGGCGGGACUGCAAGUUGGGUGUCAAAUCUACCGGCUCAACCGGUAGCCGCACUCAAAACUGCAGUUCUUGAGUGAAGUAGAGGCAGGCGGAAUGCCUGGUGUAGCGGUGAAAUGCGUAGAUAUUAGGAGGAACACCAGUGGCGAAGGCGGCCUGCUGGGCUUUUACUGACGCUGAGGCUCGAAAGUGUGGGGAGCAAACAGGAUUAGAUACCCGAGUAGUC
rnacentral:rRNA from 1 species